UGGAAAUUGUAGAAAUUGAUUUGUAAAAAACUGAACAACAACUGCUGAUGGCAUUUAAAUAUGGGAUCAAUCCAAUAAUUCACUUUUCGGAGAUCUUUGCCCGUUCCCCAAAUAUGAAAAAUCUCUGUUUUAAGCUGGAGCCUUGUUAUUUGGCAUUUACACACAUUUGAAUGCCAUAUUAAAGUCCUGAAAGUUUCAUAAGGAUCAGACCAUAAACAGCCAAGAUCUUCAAGAAUGUUUUACCAUAGUGUGGGUCAAAAAGAAGAAGAACUGGAGCAGCAUAAAGUGUUCAGGGCAAUUCCUAGUCGGGCACACUCCCGAAUAUACUUGGUAUAUUCCUAGGAGACUCGUGUUUCAGAACCUCUUGUGACUAAAAUGUAUAAUCCAUUAAAAUGUUGCAGAACGUACCUAAAUAUUGUUAAGCGAAAUGUAACGAAUAGGAGAAAACUACGAAUCCUAAAUGCUAGACGCAUAUAUAUCAUAUAUCGUAUA